AAAAUGACAACAUAAAUUUUAACAUUUUAUCCUGUCUUGUCUUUUAAAAUCUAAAUAUUAAAUCGGCGAAUCAAUGAGUAGCAACAAAAACUAAAUAUUAAAUCCUACAACCAAAAGGAUUUAAAGCAUGGGUUCGAUUUUUACAAAUUAGCCAUAAAUAUGCCAGGAAAAGGUGGUGCAAGUCGUUCUCGGUCGAGUUCUGGCUCUCGUUCCCGGUACAGCCCUGCUGAACGACAUGCUCCGGCUCAAGCACCCAACAUUGUGGUCACGCCUAUGCCUCGAAGAUCCGUAUUCAGGGACGCCGCUGCAGUUGCCGGAGGCGUCACUGUGGGAACAACGAUGGGUCAUUUAGCAGGUGAGGCAAUAACAAGCCUGUUUGGUGGACAUCGACGUGAAGAAGUGCAACGUUCCCUGCCUCAGAACUACCAAAUGGGCACAGAGCCGAGUGGACCCUGUGCCUUUGAGAUUGCUCAGUUCCUGCAGUGCGCUGCCAACCGCGAAAACUUGCAGGAGUGCGAGGCUUUCAACGAAGCGCUAAGAGACUGUAAAACACGAAAUCGUUUACCUUAACGGACAAACAAUUAUUCACACUAUGUCAUAAUAAACAUUUGAAAUAUUAUUAUAAAAAACUUUUUAUUUAUCACCCAGACAUCAUCAUGCAAACCUAGGAUAGCUUGCCACUUCGGCUUUUGGGAGACUUU